rnacentral:rRNA from 1 species
GAUGAACGCUGGCGGCGUGCCUAAUACAUGCAAGUCGAGCGAACGGACGAGAAGCUUGCUUCUCUGAUGUUAGCGGCGGACGGGUGAGUAACACGUGGAUAACCUACCUAUAAGACUGGGAUAACUUCGGGAAACCGGAGCUAAUACCGGAUAAUAUUUUGAACCGCAUGGUUCAAAAGUGAAAGACGGUCUUGCUGUCACUUAUAGAUGGAUCCGCGCUGCAUUAGCUAGUUGGUAAGGUAACGGCUUACCAAGGCAACGAUGCAUAGCCGACCUGAGAGGGUGAUCGGCCACACUGGAACUGAGACACGGUCCAGACUCCUACGGGAGGCAGCAGUAGGGAAUCUUCCGCAAUGGGCGAAAGCCUGACGGAGCAACGCCGCGUGAGUGAUGAAGGUCUUCGGAUCGUAAAACUCUGUUAUUAGGGAAGAACAUAUGUGUAAGUAACUGUGCACAUCUUGACGGUACCUAAUCAGAAAGCCACGGCUAACUACGUGCCAGCAGCCGCGGUAAUACGUAGGUGGCAAGCGUUAUCCGGAAUUAUUGGGCGUAAAGCGCGCGUAGGCGGUUUUUUAAGUCUGAUGUGAAAGCCCACGGCUCAACCGUGGAGGGUCAUUGGAAACUGGAAAACUUGAGUGCAGAAGAGGAAAGUGGAAUUCCAUGUGUAGCGGUGAAAUGCGCAGAGAUAUGGAGGAACACCAGUGGCGAAGGCGACUUUCUGGUCUGUAACUGACGCUGAUGUGCGAAAGCGUGGGGAUCAAACAGGAUUAGAUACCCUGGUAGUCCACGCCGUAAACGAUGAGUGCUAAGUGUUAGGGGGUUUCCGCCCCUUAGUGCUGCAGCUAACGCAUUAAGCACUCCGCCUGGGGAGUACGACCGCAAGGUUGAAACUCAAAGGAAUUGACGGGGACCCGCACAAGCGGUGGAGCAUGUGGUUUAAUUCGAAGCAACGCGAAGAACCUUACCAAAUCUUGACAUCCUUUGACAACUCUAGAGAUAGAGCCUUCCCCUUCGGGGGGGCAAAGUGACAGGUGGUGCAUGGUUGUCGUCAGCUCGUGUCGUGAGAUGUUGGGUUAAGUCCCGCAACGAGCGCAACCCUUAAGCUUAGUUGCCAUCAUUAAGUUGGGCACUCUAAGUUGACUGCCGGUGACAAACCGGAGGAAGGUGGGGAUGACGUCAAAUCAUCAUGUCCCUUAUGAUUUGGGCUACACACGUGCUACAAUGGACAAUACAAAGGGCAGCGAAACCGCGAGGUCAAGCAAAUCCCAUAAAGUUGUUCUCAGUUCGGAUUGUAGUCUGCAACUCGACUACAUGAAGCUGGAAUCGCUAGUAAUCGUAGAUCAGCAUGCUACGGUGAAUACGUUCCCGGGUCU